GCUCCAAAAGUGUAUCUUAAUGUUGUUGCAGUUAAAAAGCUCGUAGUUGAAGUUCUGGCGUUCCGCAGUCCUUCUGGGACUAUACGGGGGCGUCAUCCGCUUGGAAAGGUAUUCUGUGGGAGACCACGUGUACCGGAACAGGCAUUUUACUUUGAAGAAAUUAGAGUGUUCCAGGCAGGCCUUUGCUUGAAUAUAUCAGC
rnacentral:rRNA from 1 species